GUGGAGAAUGAUCGAUGACUAUAGGCAUCGAAAGUUGACCCUUCAAUCUCAAAAUCUCCAUUCAAAAUAGAAACUGUACACCGAAAAAAAAAAAAAAAAGGAAGACAGGACUUCAAUACUGACCAAAGAAGCUCAAAAUUCACUUUCAUCUUGUCUUCUCGUUACAGCCUCAAUCUAUCAAGAGAAACCAACAGGGGAUAACAGCUAUCCACAAAUUGCAUUGCAUGGUUGUUUUGUACGAGUAAUCAUCAGAAUUGUGUUUGGCUUAUUGUUGAAAAGCUUGUCCGAUCUGAAAUUUCAUACAAUGGAUACCAUGGCUUCAAAUGUUUUGCAAUUACUGGAUAGCACUUUGGAGAGGGUGACAUCGGCUUUGGAUUUUCCAUCUGCGAGAGCUGUUGUUUUUGGUGUUCAUAUUGGAGGGCAUCUUUUUGUGGAGGUUCUUCUUUUAGUGGUCAUUCUUUUUCUUCUUUCCCAGAAAAGUUAUAAGCAUCCUAAGCGGCCCUUAACAAAGAAGGAAAUAGACGAGCUAUGUGAUGAAUGGGUUCCAGAAUCCCUUAUUCCUCCUAUUACAGAGGAGAUGCGAUAUGAGCCACCAGUAUUGGAAAGUGCUGCUGGGCCACAUACCAUAAUCAAUGGCAAAGAUGUUGUAAACUUUGCUUCAGCUAAUUAUCUUGGUCUAACAGGGCACGAGAAACAAAUUGAUUCAAGUACCUCGGCCUUGGAAAAAUAUGGUGUUGGUUCCUGUGGUCCUCGUGGGUUCUAUGGAACAAUUGAUGUCCACCUUGAUUGUGAGGCCAGAAUAGCCAAGUUUCUGGGAACUCCAGAUUCAAUUAUCUAUUCAUAUGGACUUUCCACUAUGUUCAGUACAAUUCCAUGUUUUUGCAAAAAAGGAGACAUAAUUGUUGUGGAUGAGGGAGUCCAUUGGGGAAUACAGAAUGGCCUGUAUCUUUCCAGAAGCACCAUUGUGUAUUUCAAGCACAAUGACAUGGAAUCUCUACGAAAUGCUUUGGAGAAAAUUACAGUAGAGAACAAGCGGGCCAAGGAGUUGCGACGCUAUAUUGUAGUUGAAGCUGUGUACCAGAACUCUGGCCAAAUAGCCCCUUUAAAUGAGAUCAUCAGAUUGAAGGAGAAAUAUCUCUUCCGUGUUUUGUUGGAUGAGAGCAACUCAUUUGGUGUGCUUGGCAGGUCUGGGAAAGGUCUUACUGAAUACCAUGGGGUGCCGAUUGAGAAGAUAGAUAUUGUUACUGCAGAUAUGGGCCAUGCAUUAGCCACUGAAGGAGGAUUCUGCACUGGAAGUUCCAGAGUCGUCGAUCAUCAACGACUUAGCAGUUCUGGAUAUGUGUUUUCUGCUUCUCUUCCACCAUAUCUUGCAAGCGCUGCAAUUACUGCUAUCGAUGUUCUGGAGGAUAAUCCUGCUUUAAUAGAAAAAUUGAAAGAAAACAUUGCCAUCUUGUGGAAAGGAUUGUCCAACAUACAGGGUCUCUCUAUAAGCAGCAAUCCUAAAUCGCCUAUUGUUUUUCUCAACCUAGAAAAGUCCACAGGUUCCACUAAAGAUGACCUUAAACUCCUUGAAGCUAUGGCUGAUCGGGCAUUGAAGGAAGACUCUGUAUUUGUUGUAACCACAAAGAGAUCAACACUUGAUAAAUGUCGUUUGCCUGUGGGAAUCAGAUUGUUUGUAUCUGCCGCUCAUUCAGAUUCUGAUCUGCUCAAGGUAUGUGAAUCCUUGAAGAGGGUUGCAGCAUUGGUGCUGAUGAAUCAAUGAUUGAGUGCUGUACAUCAGACCGAUCCCUCUUUUCUUUUCCCUCAAUGGCCUUACUGGACUGCAUCAGAUUUUUCACGUGGCUUUCAUCCAUCAAAUACUCUUCAGGUCCAGGCCAAGGAAGACUUUUAGUGAGAGAGGUCUGGAUCCUCAUUUAAACCUGUUAUUGCUUGGGUCAUCGGAGCUUCGUUUGCUUCAUUAUUAUCAGAGACAUAUACCGGUUUCUUCUAUGCCUCGAAACCAAGAAUGGCCCUAGCAUGUUAACAGGAUAUACAAUAAAGUUGGAAAAUUUCAGAAAAAGAGAGUAAACCAUUUCAGUAGAGAACAUAGCUUGUUACUAGUCUGAGGCCCUAACCAUUAUCGAAUUGGUUGAACAAGAUACAAUUUUAAACUUGAGGACGGGAACUCUUUUUAUUGCACGUAUAUCCUCAAAAUCUGUCAGAGGAAAUCGAAGGACUGCAGCAAUGGCAGAAUGCAGCGCCAAUUGCUCUCCUGAAACGUGCAUGGACAAAAAAUAUAUAAGAGCAGUGCCCCUAGAAUCUUUCAUCGAUUUAA